GACGAACGCUGGCGGCGUGCUUAACACAUGCAAGUCGAACGGAAAGGCGCUGCUUUUGUGGGGUUCUCGAGUGGCGAACGGGUGAGUAACACGUGAGUAACCUGCCCUUGUCUUUGGGAUAACUUCAGGAAACUGGGGCUAAUACCGGAUAGGAGCUCCUGCUGCAUGGUGGGGGUUGGAAAGUGUCGGCGGUUGGGGAUGGACUCGCGGCUUAUCAGCUUGUUGGUGGGGUAGGUGCUUACCAAGGCUUUGACGGGUAGCCGGCCUGAGAGGGUGACCGGCCACAUUGGGACUGAGAUACGGCCCAGACUCCUACGGGAGGCAGCAGUGGGGAGUAUUGCACAAUGGGCGGAAGCCUGAUGCGGCAACGCCGCGUGCGGGAUGACGGCCUUCGGGUUGUAAACCGCUUUCGCCUGUGACGAAGCGUGAGUGACGGUAAUGGGUAAAGAAGCACCGGCUAACUACGUG
rnacentral:rRNA from 1 species